rnacentral:rRNA from 1 species
UACGAGUGCCUCAAGCGUUAUCCGGAAUUAUUGGGCGUAAAGGGUGUGUAGGCGGUCUUGUUAGUCUUCUGUCAAAUUCUUCGGCUUAACCGGGGGCAUGCAGAGGAAACGGCAAGACUUGAGGAUGCGAGAGGUGAAUGGAACUCAUAGUGUAGGGGUGAAAUCCGUUGAUAUUAUGGGGAACACCAAAAGCGAAGGCAAUUCACUGGCGCACUCCUGACGCUGAAACACGAAAGCGUGGGUAGCGAAUGGG